GAUGAACGCUAGCGGCAGGCUUAAUACAUGCAAGUCGAGGGGCAGCACGGGUAGCAAUACUUGGUGGCGACCGGCGCACGGGUGCGUAACACGUAUACAAUCUACCUAUAACAGGGGGAUAGCCUUUCGAAAGAGAGAUUAAUACCCCGUAACACACGAAACGGCAUCGUUUUUUGUUGAAAGUUCCGACGGUUAUAGAUGAGUAUGCGUCUGAUUAGCUAGUUGGUAGUGUAAUGGACUACCAAGGCGACGAUCAGUAGGGGAUCUGAGAGGACUACCCCCCACACUGGUACUGAGACACGGACCAGACUCCGACUGGAGGCAGCAGUAAGGAAUAUUGGACAAUGGUGGCAACACUGAUCCAGCCAUGCCGCGUGCAGGAAGACGGCCCUAUGGGUUGUAAACUGCUUUUGUACCAGAGAAAACCUAUCUACGUGUAGAUAGCUGAUAGUAUGGUAAGAAUAAGCAUCGGCUAACUUCGUGCCAGCAGCCGCAGUAACAC
rnacentral:rRNA from 1 species